rnacentral:rRNA from 1 species
GAUGAACGCUGGCGGCGUGCCUAAUACAUGCAAGUCGAGCGACCAGACGAGGAGCUUGCUCCUCUGACGUUAUCGGCGGACGGGUGAGUCACACGUGGAUAACCUACCUAUACGACUUGGAUAACUUCGGGAAACCGUCGCUAAUACCGGGUCAUAUAUUGUACCCCAUGGUUCACUAGUUAAAAUCGGUUUUGCUGUCACUUAUAGAUGGAUUCCCGCCGCAUUAGCUAGUUGGUAAGGUAACGGCUUACCAAGGCAACGAUGCGUAGCCGACCCGAGAGGGUGUUCGGCCACACUGGAACUGAGACACGGUCCAGACGCCGACGGGAGGCAGCAGUAGGGAAUGUUCCGCAAUGGGCGAAAGCCUGACGGAGCAACGCCGCGUGAGUGAUGAAGGUCUGCGGAUCGUAAAACUCUGUUAUUAGGGAAGAACAAAUGUGUAAGUAACUAAGCACGUCAUGACGGUACCUAAACAGAAAGCCACGGCUAACUACGUG